rnacentral:rRNA from 1 species
CCAGACUCCUACGGGAGGCAGCAGUAGGGAAUUUUGCGCAAUGGGGGAAACCCUGACGCAGCAACACCGCGUGAAUGUUAAGUCCUUCGGGGUGUAAAGUUCUGUCAAUAGGGACGAAUUUUGACUGUACCUAUAAAGGAAGCACCGGCUAACUCCGUGCCAGCAGCCGCGGUAAUACGGGGGGUGCAAGCGUUGUCCGGAUUCAUUGGGCGUAAAGCGCGCGUAGGCGGCCGCCUAAGCGGAACCUCUAACCCCGGGGCUCAACCUCGGGCCGGGUUCCGGACUGGGCGGCUCGAGUGCGGUAGAGGAGAGCGGAAUUCCCGGUGUAGCGGUGGAAUGCGCAGAUAUCGGGAAGAACACCGAUGGCGAAGGCAGCUCUCUGGGCCGUCACUGACGCUGAGGCGCGAAAGCUGGGGGAGCGAACAGGAUUAGAUACCCUAGUACAC